AUAACUAGGCAUCCGGGACAAAUCCCAGAGGGAAAGCCAGCAAUGGCUACCGGACUUCCUGACC
rnacentral:sRNA from 12 species